rnacentral:rRNA from 1 species
UGAGGAAUAUUGGCCAAUGGGCGCAAGCCUGAACCAGCCAUCCCGCGUGCAGGAAGACGGCGCUAUGCGUUGUAAACUGCUUUUCCAGGGGGAGAAACUUGCGCACGUGUUGCGCAAUUGACGGUACCCUGGGAAUAAGCAUCGGCUAACUCCGUGCCAGCAGCCGCGGUAAUACGGAGGAUGCGAGCGUUAUCAGGAUUCAUUGGGUUUAAAGGGUGCGUAGGCGGACUAUUAAGUCAGUGGUGAAAUCCUGCAGCUUAACUGCAGAACUGCCAUUGAUACUGAUAGCCUUGAGUUUGGUUAAGGUAGGCGGAAUGUGUAAUGUAGCGGUGAAAUGCUUAGAUAUUACACAGAACACCAAUUGCGUAGGCAGCUUACUGAGCCGACACUGACGCUGAGGCACGAAAGCGUGGGGAUCGAACAG